GACCAAAGGCUGCGCGAAGAGGCGGUGCAGGCGUCAUUGCCGCUGCCGCCAAGCGGACUCUGCAAUCGCUUUUGGCGGCGACCAUGGCGGUGGCUGUGACUGGAAACUUCUGGAAAUGGCGGCGGCGACGAAGAGGCCCACAUGAUGAUGAUAUUUGUAAUAAAAUGUGGCAAAAUCUAACACUGAUGGCAGAACACUGGAUCAAACCAAGCAUGGGACUGGCAAAGAGUUAAACAAUUCAAAGAAGGCAAGCCAUGAAAGAGAAGACAGUAAACAGAGUAAAAAUUACAUAUUUAACUUUCCCCUAGGUCCAAAUAAUAUUUCAU